rnacentral:rRNA from 1 species
UACAACUCUUAGCGGUGGAUCACUCGGCUCGUGCGUCGAUGAAGAACGCAGCUAGCUGCGAGAACUAAUGUGAAUUGCAGGACACAUUGAUCAUUGACAUUUCGAACGCACCUUGCGGCCCCGGGUUCUUCCCGGGGCUACGCCUGUCUGAGGGUCGCUU